rnacentral:lncRNA from 1 species
CUAAAGUAAUUACACAACAUCUCAUCAUUUUCAUUUCAGAUGCGAAGAUUGACUGGCCUGAAGGUUGGUCCACGACAUAUUUAAAUGAGAGAAGAGAAAGGAUGUCAAAAGAAAGGGAAAAAAAACUAGUUUCAAGUGUCGGAAGAGGAAGAUGAAGAAGAGUUCAAAGAUGUAUUGAGAAAAUUUUAGGGGGGUUUGACUGAAGAAGAAAGAAAGAAAGAAGAUGAACAAGUGUAGAAGUAGGCCCAGGAAAAAAAUAAUAAGAAAAGGAAAGAAAAAGGGAUAAGGAGGAAAAAUAAAAAAAUAGUAAAAGUAAAGAGACAUAAGUGGACGCCACGUGGAGGCAUGUGAUUGGUCAGUGCUGCCACAUUAGUAAAAAAAUUAACAUCGUUAG